AAAAGUUUGGGCUUCCCGUGGUGGCUCAUUGGUGAAGAGUCCACCGCCAAGGCAGGGAACACUGGUUUGAUCCCUGGUCUGGGAAGA